UUGGAGACAGGUGGUGCAUGGUUGUCGUCAGCUCGUGUCGUGAGGUGUUGGGUUAAGUCCCGCAACGAGCGCAACCCCUAUUUCCAGUAGCCAGCAAGAAAGAUGGGAACUCUGGAGAGACUGCCCGGGAUAACUGGGAGGAAGGCGGGGGUGACGUCAAAUCAUCAUGCCCCUUAUGAUCAGGGCUACACACGUGCUACAAUGGCGUAAACAAAGGGAAGCGAAGUGGUGACACGAAGCAAAUCCGAAAAACAACGUCUCAGUUCGGAUUGUAGUCUGCAACUCGACUACAUGAAGCUGGAAUCGCUAGUAAUCGCGAAUCAGAAUGUCGCGGUGAAUACGUUCCCGGGUCUUGUACACACCGCCCGUCACACCAUGGGAGUCGGAAAUGCCCGAAGUCAGUGACCCAACCGAGAGGAGGGAGCUGCCGAAGGUGGAGCCGGUAACUGGGGUGAAGUCGUAACAAGGUAGCCGUAUCGGAAGGUGCGGCUGGAUCACCUCCUU
rnacentral:rRNA from 1 species